rnacentral:rRNA from 1 species
CGGACGGGUGAGUAACGCGUGAGUAACCUGCCUUACACAAGGGGAUAGCCGUUGGAAACGACGAAUAAUACCCUAUGACAUAAACUCCUCGCAUGAGGAGCUUAUCAAAGAUUUAUCGGUGUAAGAUGGACUCGCGUCUGAUUAGCUAGUUGGUGAGGUAACGGCCCACAAAGGCGACGAUCAGUAGCCGGCUUGAGAGAGUGUACGGCCACAUUGGGACUGAGACACGGCCCAGACUCCUACGGGAGGCAGCAGCC